rnacentral:rRNA from 1 species
GACGAACGCUGGCGGCGUGCUUAACACAUGCAAGUCGAACGGAAAGGCCCUGCUUGUGUGGGGUGCUCGAGGGGCGAACGGGUGAGUAACACGUGAGUAACCUGCCCUUGACUUUGGGAUAACUUCAGGAAACUGGGGCUAAUACCGGAUAGGAGCGCCUGCUGCAGGGGGGGGGUUGGAAAGUUUGGGUGGUGGGGGAUGGACGCGGGGCUUAUCAGCUUGUGGGUGGGGUAGUGGCUUACCAAGUCUUCGACGGGUGGCCGGCCUGGGAGGGUGGCCGCCGUCCUUGGUCCUGCGAGACGCCCCAGACUCCAACGGGGGGCAGUGGUGGGGAAUAUGCCACAAUGGGGGGAAGCGUGUUGCAGAAACGCCGCGUGCGGAAUGCCGGCCUUCGGGUUGUAAACCGCUUUCGCCUGUGACGAUGCGUGAGUGACGGUAAUGGGUAAAGAAGCACCGGCUAACUACGUG